AGUCAGUCAGUUUCUGGGAGUCAAGGCCAGAGUUGUGAGCAAAACAUUAACUUUAAAAGAUUUUAUAAGGAUGGACCCAGACCAAAAGGUCUCUAUCAUACAUACUAAGGAUUCUUUACCAAUUCCUGAGAAAGAAAAAGUCUCUCAGUGUGAGGACAAGUUAGAAGACUAUAAUAAAGGCAGGCCCAACGAGGGCAAACGGCAUAAAUGCAAUGAAUGUUGGAAAAUGUUUACCCAGAACUCAGGCCUCAUUCAACAUCAGAGAAUUCACACUGGAGAAAAACGCUAUGAGUGUUAUCACUGUGGAAAAGCCUUCUAUUAGUGUUCAACCCUCACUGUGCAUGAAAGAGUCCACACUGGGGAGAAACCCAAUAUCUUUAACAAGUAUAAGAAAGCCUUUAGUAUGAGAAGACACUUGAUUGUAUACCAAAGAGUCCAAAAUGAAGAGGAGCCAAAUGACUGCAGUGAAUGUGGGAAAGUUUUCGGUGUGAGCUCAGCCCUCAUCAAACAUCAGAGCAUACAUACAGGUGAAAAGCCAUAUGCAUAUGAUAAGUAUGGGGAAGUCUUCAGUGUGAUCUCAGCACUCAUCAAACAUCAGAGAAUCCAUACUGGAGAAAAGCCAUAUAAGUGGAAGAAAUAUGGCAAAGCCUUCUAUGUGAACUCAGUGCUUAUUAGUCACCGGAGGGUUCACUCUGGAGAAAAGCCAUGUGAGUGUGGGAAUGUAGAAAAGCAUUCAGUCAGAGUCAAACCGAGUGAUCACCAGAGAAUCCAUACUGGAGAGAAAUGCUACGAGUUUGAUGAGUGUGGGGAAGGUUUCCGAAGAUACUCUAACCUUACCAAACACCAGAAAGGACAUAACAAAAGAAAAUGUCAGCAGUGAUGUACAUGGGAAAGGUAUUCUAGGUGCCUUUGGUUGCAUCAAAAGAAUAUGACC